rnacentral:RNase_P_RNA from 1 species
UCGCUUCAAAUUUAUUUUGAAGAGGAAAGUCCGGACUCUGAAAAGACACGGUGCCAGAUAAUACCUGGCGGGGGCGACCCUAGGGAUAGUGCCACAGAAAACAAACCGCCUUAACGAGGCAAGGGUGAAAAGGUGUGGUAAGAGCACACCGGCUAUAUUGGUAACAAUUAGCGCAUGGAAAACCCCACCGAGAGCAAGACCAAGUAGAGAUGACACUGUGUGAACUAAAAACGGUCUUUGGUUAGUCAUCAGGGUUGGUCGCUUGAGCUUAAAAGUGAUUUUAAGCCUAGAUAAAUGAUAAGUUUUAAUGACAAAACCCGGCUUAUAGUUUAUCUG